UACAGAGGGAGCAAGCGUUAUCCGGAAUGAUUGGGCGUAAAGCGUCUGUAGGGGGUUUAGAAAGUCCACUGUCAAAUACCAAGGCUCAACCUUGGGCAGGCAGUGGAGUACUUUUAGACUAGAGUGUGGUAGAGGUAGAGGGAAUCCCUAACGUAACAGUGAAAUGUGUAGAUUUUAGGGAGAACACCAGCGGCGAAGGCGCUCUACUGGGCCAAGACUGACACUGAGAGACGAAAGCUAGGGGAGCGAAUAGG
rnacentral:rRNA from 1 species